CAUUUAGAGGAAGUAAAAGUCGUAACAAGGUCUCCGUUGGUGAACCAGCGGAGGGAUCAUUAAAGAGUUAUCUAACUCCCAAAACCAUGUGAACUUACCUAUGUUGCCUCGGCGGGGGAAACCUACCCGGUAGCUACUCUGUAGCUGUUGUGUGUAGGCUUACCCCGCCGACGGCCCCCUCCAAACUCUUGUUUUUUGGGCACUUCUGAGUUAUUAUACUUAAUAAGUUAAAACUUUCAACAACGGAUCUCUUGGUUCUGGCAUCGAUGAAGAACGCAGCGAAAUGCGAUAAGUAAUGUGAAUUGCAGAAUUCAGUGAAUCAUCGAAUCUUUGAACGCACAUUGCGCCCAUUAGUAUUCUAGUGGGCAUGCCUGUUCGAGCGUCAUUUCAACCCUCAAGCCUUAGUUGCUUGGUGUUGGGAGCUUAUCCCGCCGGAAGGCGGGACAACUCCUUAAAGCUAUCGGCGGAGUCGCGGUGACCCUAAGCGUAGUAAUAUUCUUUCUCGCUCUAGGUGUCGACGCUGGCUUCUAGCCGUUAAACCCCUCUAUUUUUUUAAUGGUUGACCUCGGAUCAGGUAGGACUACCCGCUGAACUUAAGCAUAUCAAUAAGCGGAGGA
rnacentral:rRNA from 1 species